rnacentral:rRNA from 1 species
CCCGGGGACGUUAUCCGGGAAUUAAUUGGGGCGUAAGAGAGUGCAGGCGGUUUUCUAAGUCUGAUGUGAAAGCCUUCGGCUUAACCGGAGAAGUGCAUCGGAAACUGGAUAACUUGAGUGCAGAAGAGGGUAGUGGAACUCCAUGUGUAGCGGUGGAAUGCGUAGAUAUAUGGAAGAACACCAGUGGCGAAGGCGGCUACCUGGUCUGCAACUGACGCUGAGACUCGAAAGCAUGGGUAGCGAACAGGAUUAGAUACCCUGGUAGUCCAUGCCGUAAACGAUGAGUGCUAGGUGUUGGAGGGUUUCCGCCCUUCAGUGCCGGAGCUAACGCAUUAAGCACUCCGCCUGGGGAGUACGACCGCAAGGUUGAAACUCAAAGGAAUUGACGGGGGCCCGCACAAGCGGUGGAGCAUGUGGUUUAAUUCGAAGCUACGCGAAGAACCUUACCAGGUCUUGACAUCUUGCGCCAACCCUAGAGAUAGGGCGUUUCCUUCGGGAACGCAAUGACAGGUGGUGCAUGGUCGUCGUCAGCUCGUGUCGUGAGAUGUUGGGUUAAGUCCCGCAACGAGCGCAACCCUUGUUACUAGUUGCCAGCAUUAAGUUGGGCACUCUAGUGAGACUGCCGGUGACAAACCGGAGGAAGGUGGGGACGACGUCAGAUCAUCAUGCCCCUUAUGACCUGGGCUACACACGUGCUACAAUGGACGGUACAACGAGUCGCGAACUCGCGAGGGCAAGCAAAUCUCUUAAAACCGUUCUCAGUUCGGACUGCAGGCUGCAACUCGCCUGCACGAAGUCGGAAUCGCUAGUAAUCGCGGAUCAGCAUGCCGCGGUGAAUACGUUCCCGGGCCUUGUACACACCGCCCGUCACACCAUGAGAGUUUGUAACACCCAAAGUCGGUGGGGUAACCUUUUAGGAGCCAGCCGCCUAAGGUGGGACAGAUGAUUAGGGUGAAGUCGUACAGGGGUGAGGGGUAAAGAAAA